UGGGGAAUAUUGCACAAUGGGCGAAAGCCUGAUGCAGCGACGCCGCGUGAGGGAUGACGGCCUUCGGGUUGUAAACCUCUUUCAGUAGGGAAGAAGCGAAAGUGACGGUACCUGCAGAAGAAGCGCCGGCUAACUACGUGCCAGCAGCCGCGGUAAUACGUAGGGCGCAAGCGUUAUCCGGAAUUAUUGGGCGUAAAAGAGCUCGUAGGCGGUUUGUCGCGUCUGCCGUGAAAGUCCGGGGCUCAACUCCGGAUCUGCGGUGGGUACGGGCAGACUAGAGUGAUGUAGGGGAGACUGGAAUUCCUGGUGUAGCGGUGAAAUGCGCAGAUAUCAGGAGGAACACCGAUGGCGAAGGCAGGUCUCUGGGCAUUAACUGACGCUGAGGAGCGAAAGCAUGGGGAGCGAACAGGAUUAGAUACCCUGGUAGUCCAUGCCGUAAACGUUGGGCACUAGGUGUGGGGGACAUUCCACGUUUUCCGCGCCGUAGCUAA
rnacentral:rRNA from 1 species